rnacentral:rRNA from 1 species
UACAGAGGGUGCAAGCGUUGUUCGGAAUUAUUGGGCGUAAAGCGCGCGCAGGCGGUCCUUUAAGUCUGAUGUGAAAGCCCACGGCUCAACCGUGGAGGGUCAUUGGAAACUGGGGGACUUGAGUACAGAAGAGAAGAGUGGAAUUCCACGUGUAGCGGUGAAAUGCGUAGAGAUGUGGAGGAACACCAGUGGCGAAGGCGACUCUUUGGUCUGUAACCGACGCUGAGGCACGAAAGCGUGGGGAGCAAACAGG